rnacentral:siRNA from 1 species
GUCUACCUCAGUCACUGCUCCAAC